rnacentral:rRNA from 2 species
GAGUUUGAUCGUGGCUCAGGACGAACGCUGGCGGCGUGCUUAACACAUGCAAGUCACGGGGGCCCGCAAGGGCAACCGGCGAACGGGUGCGUAACACGUGAGCAAGCUUCCGAUUUGUGGGGGAUAGCCGGCCUAACGGCCGGGUAAUACCGCAUACGUUCACUGGGCGGCAUCGUCUGGUGAGGAAACCUCCGGGGCAAAUCGAGGCGCUCGCGGCCUAUCAGCUAGUUGGCGGGGUAAUGGCCCACCAAGGCGACGACGGGUAGCUGGUCUGAGAGGAUGGCCAGCCACAUUGGGACUGCGACACGGCCCAGACUCCUACGGGAGGCAGCAGUGGGGAAUAUUGCGCAAUGGACGAAAGUCUGACGCAGCGACGCCGCGUGUGGGAUGAAGCUCUUCGGGGUGUAAACCACUGUUGCCCGGGACGAAAUGCCCUUUCGAGGGAAUUGACGGUACCGGGUGAGGAAGCACCGGCUAACUCUGUGCCAGCCGCCGCAGUAAG